ACAGGUGGUGCAUGGCUGUCGUCAGCUCGUGUCGUGAGAUGUUGGAUUAAGUUCCGCAACGAGCGCAACCCUCGUGGUAUGUUGCCAGCAGUUCGGCUGGGCACUCAUACCAGACUGCCGCAGCAAUGUGGAGGAAGGUGGGGAUGACGUCAAGUCAGCAUGCCCCGUACGCCCUGGGCUACACACAUACUACAAUGCAUGGUGCAGACGGAUGCAAGACCGCGAGGUGGAGCUAAUCCGCGAAGGCCAUGCUCAGUGCAGAUUGCAGGCUGCAACUCGCCUGCAUGAAGGCGGAAUCGCUAGUAACCGUCGGUCAGCAUUACGACGGUGAAUACGUUCCCGGGCCUU
rnacentral:rRNA from 1 species